rnacentral:rRNA from 1 species
GUGCCAGCAGCCGCGGUACGACGUAGGGGGCGAGCGUUACCCGGAAUUACUGGGCGUAAAGGGCACGCAUGCGGUACGCCCAGUCGGGGGUGUAAAGUUACGGCUCAACCGUGACCUUGCAAUCGAUACUGGCGUACUGGAGUGCGGGAGAGGGACGUGGAAUUCCCGGUGUAGCGGUGAAAUGCGUAGAUAUCGGGAGGAACGCCAGUGGCGAAGGCGGCUUCCUGGCCCGCGACUGACGCUCAUGUGCGAAAGCCAGGGGAGCGAACCGGAUUAGAUACCCGGGUAGUCCUGGCCGUAAACGAUGGGUGCUAGGUGUAGGCGCGUCAAGCGUCUGUGCCGCAGUUAACGCGAUAAGCACCUCGCCUGGGGAGUACGGUCGCAGGGCUGAAACUCAAAGAAAUUGACGG